CCUCCAUCUCUCUCCCAAGGACGCGGCCGUAGGGCGACGGCGCACUCGCAGGCGGCGCGCUGGCACGAGCAGGCCAUGGCGGCCCUCCUCCCUCCUCCCUCACCCCUGACCCGCCCUAGAUCCGCCGCUGCCGGUGCCCAUACUAAAGGUCCCCGCCGCCACCCGCACCACCCAGACGCCCACGGCCUCUGCCUCUGAUGAAGUCGGCCCUGACGCCCAUGGCUGUUGCCCCUGCGGUUGGCGGCCCCGGUACGGCAUGGCGCAGGCAGUGCGCCGUUGGUGGCCACGGCUGCCCCCUUCCCCCACCCACACCAGCGAGGGCUGGUGCCGGCUUGACCUCGCGCCGUCCGCUGAUCAGUUUGCUCCUCUCUCUCUCUCUCUCUCUCUCUCUGCCGGAUUUCCCUCUCGCGGCGCUUGCGGAGGCUCGCGUCGUCCUGAUUUGGUGCAUACAGAGAGGGCCAACGGGGCAAUGGCUGUGGGUACUAGACAAAACGGCAAGAGGGCAAAGGCCGCCGACACCCACGAGGACUGGGACAAUGGAAGAUGCCAUCGAUCGCAGCCUAUUUUUCUCCUUGGACAACCUCCUAUAGAUCCGGAACAGAUCGAGAAGAGUCAGGAAAGAAGCAAGUUUUGCUCGCUUCCUCUCUGUUCCUAAACCAUAUUUACUUUUCCAUGUAUUUAAAUUUACAAAUUUAUAGGUUGUCUCUCAUACCUUUAGUUCGUUAUUGCAGGUUCAUGACGAAGCAAGCAACAAAGUACCUUUAUCUGACAUGUUUUUUUUUCAUGUUAUGCUUAGAGAUUCGACAAAUGUUUUUUGAACUUGUAUUUCAAGGCUAACUUAUUUUGGCUUGCGAACAAGGUAUCCUUCUAUUUUGAACUUGUAUUUCAAGGCUAACUUAUUUUGGCUUGCUAAAAAAUCACAAUAUAAAUAUGUAACAUGCCAUUGUUUUGUUUCCAGAUGUAACAUGCUUCCUAAUUGCAUGUUUUUUAGGCUUUGUAGGGAUUAUAGCAUCCGCAUUACAUUGUUUUUUCAGCAAGUACUUUUGCAUUAUCUUCUUAAACACACAUGUACUUCUUCAGACGGCUUCACGAAAUGCUUGCUGAGAUGCCAGAAGUUUCUGAGUAACAUCCGAUACUUUAUUAUUGUACAUGAUAUUGUUGUUCGUUUUUGUUUAUUGGAUAGUACGCACUAAGCAGUACUAAUUUAUGGCAUGCCUAGACAUUGUGGUUACUUAUCUGGUCGAGAAGCAUUUUUUUAUAUAAGUAGAAGCAAAUAUAAAUGCUGAUAUGUUGAUAUUACUGUUCAAAAAGUAAUUACAAUGUAGUACCUGCUAAUAUUUGAAAGACUAAUAUUUUAAAAAGUACAGCUUGGUAUGUCUACUUUGCAUAUAUAGUGUCCUUGUUCCUUGCCCAGAAAUGAAACUUCUCUACACUUUUCAUGCACAAAUUACUUGAACAUGUAUUUUAUUGUUUCAGAGGACUUACUUUUUCGAUGGCCACUUGUAUCAGCAUUCUAUCCCGUCAUCCUCAAUCCUAUCACUUCCACACAUCCUGAUAAAUUAUCUAGGUGUCAUCAACCAGCUAUGUCGCAACAUGCCAAGGUAAAUUUCUAGGUGUAUACCAUCAAAAAAUAUUUCUAGGUGUAAAAGUUGUUGUUCAGUUGAUGUUAUUCCUGUUGGGGUUCUUCGGUGUAUCCUACAUAAUUCUGUUGGUAUUUUCAGUGAACUUUCAGUGCUCAGUUCAGUGCUAUGAAAAGAACUUUAACAAAACACAAUCUGUGUUAUAGUUUACUAUAUUCUCAGAGGAAGCUCAGGCAAAUACUUGUUAUAGUCACUGCAUCCAUCUCCCUUGAUUUUUUUUGUCUCCAAAUGAGGCAAGUCAACUUGGUGAUGAUAGGAAUUUUUUGGUUGUUUAAAUAUCGCCGUAGUGUUAGUACGGAUAAUGUACUAGAAUAGAUCCAUUGCUCUUGCUCGCGCUAUACCAUGCACAAUUUCACUUUCUCCCAAUGGUCUACACACCUCACCCAUGAAUCCAUGAAUCCGCAUCCUCUGGAUCACAUCCCUGGAUAUGCCGCCGGCAAGCAUAGUCAACCAAGAAGCAUGAGAUCAGCGGGAAGAAGAAUCAGAGCUAUCUUUGAGUCUUGGACGAGGAGGACGCCGACGCUAGACGCCGCUGCUGCAGCACCCCUCCGCGGACUGCCCUCACCAACACCUGCUGCCCACCUCUAGGGCCCAUAGGCAAGG